GUUUGAUCCUGGCUCAGAUUGAACGCUGGCGGCAUGCUUUACACAUGCAAGUCGAACGGCAGCACGGGUUCUUGCACCUGGUGGCGAGUGGCGGACGGGUGAGUAAUACAUCGGAACGUAUCCUAAAGUGGGGGAUAACGCAUCGAAAGAUGUGCUAAUACCGCAUACACUCUGAGGAGGAAAGUAGGGGAUCGAAAGACCUUAUGCUUUUGGAGCGGCCGAUGUCUGAUUAGCUAGUUGGUAAGGUAAUGGCUUACCAAGGCAACGAUCAGUAGUUGGUCUGAGAGGACGACCAGCCACACUGGGACUGAGACACGGCCCAGACUCCUACGGGAGGCAGCAGUGGGGAAUUUUGGACAAUGGGCGCAAGCCUGAUCCAGCAAUGCCGCGUGAGUGAAGAAGGCCU
rnacentral:rRNA from 1 species